AUGCAAGUCGAGCGGCAGCACGGGGAGCUUGCUCCCUGGUGGCGAGCGGCGGACGGGUGAGUAAUGCAUAGGAAUCUGCCCGGUAGUGGGGGAUAACCUGGGGAAACCCAGGCUAAUACCGCAUACGUCCUACGGGAGAAAGCAGGGGACCUUCGGGCCUUGCGCUAUCGGAUGAGCCUAUGUCGGAUUAGCUGGUUGGUGAGGUAAUGGCUCACCAAGGCGACGAUCCGUAGCUGGUCUGAGAGGAUGAUCAGCCACAUCGGGACUGAGACACGGCCCGAACUCCUACGGGAGGCAGCAGUGGGGAAUAUUGGACAAUGGGCGCAAGCCUGAUCCAGCCAUGCCGCGUGUGUGAAGAAGGCCCUCGGGUUGUAAAGCACUUUCAGUGGGGAAGAAAGCCUUCCGGUUAAUACCCGGGAGGAGGGACAUCACCCACAGAAGAAGCACCGGCUAACUCCGUGCCAGCAGCCGCGGUAAUACGGAGGGUGCGAGCGUUAAUCGGAAUUACUGGGCGUAAAGCGCGCGUAGGCGGCUUGAUAAGCCGGUUGUGAAAGCCCCGGGCUCAACCUGGGAACGGCAUCCGGAACUGUCAGGCUAGAGUGCAGGAGAGGAAGGUAGAAUUCCCGGUGUAGCGGUGAAAUGCGUAGAGAUCGGGAGGAAUACCAGUGGCGAAGGCGGCCUUCUGGACUGACACUGACGCUGAGGUGCGAAAGCGUGGGUAGCAAACAGGAUUAGAUACCCUGGUAGUCCACGCCGUAAACGAUGUCGACUAGCCGUUGG
rnacentral:rRNA from 1 species